rnacentral:rRNA from 1 species
UACGUAGGUGGCAAGCGUUGUCCGGAGUUAUUGGGCGUAAAGCGCGCGCAGGCGGUGCGGUAAGUCUCUGGUGAAAGCGCUCGGCUUAACUGGGCGAGGGCCGGGGAGACUGCCACGCUGGAGGGGAGCAGAGGCGAGUGGAAUUCCGGGUGUAGUGGUGAAAUGCGUAGAGAUCCGGAGGAACACCAGUGGCGAAGGCGGCUCGCUGGGCUCUACCUGACGCUGAGGCGCGAAAGCGUGGGGGAGCGAACCGGG